rnacentral:piRNA from 1 species
UGGCAUCCCAACAACGUUUUGCUGGCAGC